CCUACGGGAGGCAGCAGUGGGGAAUAUUGCACAAUGGGGGAAACCCUGAUGCAGCGACGCCGCGUGAGUGAAGAAGUAUCUCGGUAUGUAAAGCUCUAUCAGCAGGGAAGAAAAUGACGGUACCUGACUAAGAAGCCCUGGCUAACUACGUGCCAGCAGCUGCGGUAAUACGUAGGGGGCAAGCGUUAUCCGGAUUGACUGGGUGUAAAGGGUGCGUAGACGGCAGCGCAGGUCUGGAGUGAAAUGCCGGGGCUUAACCCCGGAACUGCUGUGGAAACUGUGCGGCUGGAGUGCAGGAGGGGUAAGCGGAAUUCCUAGUGUAGCGGUGAAAUGCGUAGAUAUUAGGAGGAACACCGGUGGCGAAGGCGGCUUACUGGACUGUAACUGACGUUGAGGCUCGAAAGCGUGGGGAGCAAACAGGAUUAGAUACCCUGGUAGUC
rnacentral:rRNA from 1 species